UACGUAGGGGGCGAGCGUUAUCCGGAUUUAUUGGGCGUAAAGCGUGUGUAGGCGGUUUGUUAAGUCUAAAAUCAAAGCCUGGAGCUUAACUCCAGUUCGUUUUAGAAACUGGCAGACUUGAGUGUAGUAGAGGUAAGUGGAAUUUCUAGUGUAGCGGUUAAAUGCGUAGAUAUUAGAAGGAACACCAGUGGCGAAGGCGGCUUACUGGGCUAUUACUGACGCUGAGACACGAAAGCGUGGGGAGCAAAUAGG
rnacentral:rRNA from 1 species